rnacentral:rRNA from 1 species
CUAGCUACAGGCUUAACACAUGCAAGUCGUUGGGCAUCAGGAAGAAAGCUUGCUUUCUUUGCUGGCGACCGGCGCACGGGUGAGUAACACGUAUCCAACCUGCCCUUUACUCGGGGAUAGCCUUUCGAAAGAAAGAUUAAUACCCGAUAGCAUAAUGAUUCCGCAUGGUUUCAUUAUUAAAGGAUUCCGGUAAAGGAUGGGGAUGCGUUCCAUUAGGUUGUUGGUGAGGUAACGGCCCACCAAGCCUUCGAUGGAUAGGGGUUCUGAGAGGAAGGUCCCCCACAUUGGAACUGAGACACGGUCCAAACUCCUACGGGAGGCAGCAGUGAGGAAUAUUGGUCAAUGGGCGCUAGCCUGAACCAGCCAAGUAGCGUGAAGGAUGAAGGCUCUAUGGGUCGUAAACUUCUUUUAUAUAAGAAUAAAGUGCAGUAUGUAUACUGUUUUGUAUGUAUUAUAUGAAUAAGGAUCGGCUAACUCCGUGCCAGCAGCCGCGGUAAUACGGAGGAUCCGAGCGUUAUCCGGAUUUAUUGGGUUUAAAGGGAGCGUAGGUGGACUGGUAAGUCAGUUGUGAAAGUUUGCGGCUCAACCGUAAAAUUGCAGUUGAUACUGUCAGUCUUGAGUACAGUAGAGGUGGGCGGAAUUCGUGGUGUAGCGGUGAAAUGCUUAGAUAUCGCGAAGAACUCCGAUUGCGAAGGCAGCUCACUGGACUGCAACUGACACUGAUGCUCGAAAGUGUGGGUAUCAAACAGGAUUAGAUACCCUGGUAGUCCACACAGUAAACGAUGAAUACUCGCUGUUUGCGAUAUACAGUAAGCGGCCAAGCGAAAGCAUUAAGUAUUCCACCUGGGGAGUACGCCGGCAACGGUGAAACUCAAAGGAAUUGACGGGGGCCCGCACAAGCGGAGGAACAUGUGGUUUAAUUCGAUGAUACGCGAGGAACCUUACCCGGGCUUAAAUUGCAGUGGAAUGAUGUGGAAACAUGUCAGUGAGCAAUCACCGCUGUGAAGGUGCUGCAUGGUUGUCGUCAGCUCGUGCCGUGAGGUGUCGGCUUAAGUGCCAUAACGAGCGCAACCCUUAUCUUUAGUUACUAACAGGUUAUGCUGAGGACUCUAGAGAGACUGCCGUCGUAAGAUGUGAGGAAGGUGGGGAUGACGUCAAAUCAGCACGGCCCUUACGUCCGGGGCUACACACGUGUUACAAUGGGGGGUACAGAAGGCAGCUAGCGGGUGACCGUAUGCUAAUCCCUAAAGCCUCUCUCAGUUCGGAUUGGAGUCUGCAACCCGACUCCAUGAAGCUGGAUUCGCUAGUAAUCGCGCAUCAGCCACGGCGCGGUGAAUACGUUCCCGGGCCUUGUACACACCGCCCGUCAAGCCAUGAAAGCCGGGGGUACCUGAAGUACGUAACCGCGAGGAGCGUCCUAGGGUAAAACU